rnacentral:rRNA from 1 species
UACAAUGCUCGAAGACCUUAUGUUACCCUAGAAGCAUUUCAUCUAGGAAUACUCACAAUGUUGGUUAAACUAACCUUUCAGGUUACCGUUUUUCUUCCCCUAAGCAAUCGAGCGAUAAAUCAUGCUUAACCACUUUACUCCCUUAGGUAGUUUUAUUAAGUUGUUCGACAUCUUUUUUUAAGGACCUCCUGGAAUACUCUUAAAUCUUCAGGCUGCGAAAUUCUUUCUUUUCUUAAGACUUACCUUACUAAAACUCAUAUUUAAAGAACCAUUUUUUGGAAGCGGGUUAAAACUUAACAGUUCUGUUCUCGAAAUACAUUCUCAUCUUCGGGGUUUUCCACUUGUAUCUAAUCAGGAUGAUAGAAUUAAUCCAAGAUUAAAUCAUCAUAAGAGUAAAAAUAAAUUAUCAGAGAAUAAUAAAAUAAUAAUUUAUAAUUUAUUUCCUAUCUCGAUAAGAAAAAAGAUCUCUAAGAUCUCUUUCGCUCUGUUUCACUUUGCUCUUUCAAAAGAAAUAUAUUCUUAAUCUAGAUGUAUGUGGUAUAGAUUUAUCUUACCUUUAGGUUUUCUUUCCCUCUACCUAUAAGGGGGGUCAAGAAGCUCUAUUUGUUCUGCGUAAGAUAGUCUUCGCCAAGGACGGUUCUUUUUUUCACAUCGUGGUUAUUUAGGUACCCUAUUAUAAACAUUUUAUCGAGGUAACUCAGGUUACAACCAAUACCUUGGUUAAGGAUAUUAAUACUUUGGGUACACUCUAUGUCUCCUUAUUCGAUAAGAAAAAAACUUUAAAGCAACUGGUUCUCUUCAACUUCGACGUAUCUAAUAAACCUAGCGAGGAUAAUAAUGAUUGGUCCCGCUUUUAUCUAUUACUCGUACUCCAUUGUUAAGGUACAACUAGGCUUAGUUAGGUAUACGAGGGUAGAAAUUAUUAUAAGGGCGAUUUUCGUAUGUACAUGAUAUUACACGAAGGGGUACCCAUAGACCAUUGGUGCAUACAUCCCCAUAUUAGCCGUUAAACUGUCGUAUUCGUUAUUCCUUCGGUUUUAUAUUUUCAUAAAGGUUCCAACGUCCCAUACUAACUAAUUAAUUAGAAAGGUUUAGAUUAGGACCAAGCAACCUUGGUAUAUUCGGGUAUGGGUCUUGAGGCUAAUUCUUUUUUUACCUUGGCGGACGUCAUAUGUUUUAUUUGAAACAUCGACUUAUAUCUGCGGAGAAGGGGGGGGUGUACCUAUUUUCAUUCAUUUGUCCUUAAUUAAGAUUGAGGGUGUACUAUUUUUUUUCAUUUUCCAGAGCGCUUCUUUUAUUAGGAUAAACUGGUGAUAUGUAAUGCUCGUAGUCCUUUAUCUUAUUAGCGCUUAAGGCACAUUAACCGGUUCGACGAUUUCAUCGAUUUCAUCACUAUUUAGGACAGUUAUUUUAUCUAGGAUUACUUUCAGGUAGCUAAGGGUUAGAGGUCACCUUUAGCUUCUGUAGAUAGGUAAAUAUUAGGAGGAAAUUAACCUAAUUCCCUAGGAGGUCAACCUUUACUAUUGCUCUCCUGGCCUUUCCUGCGUGGAGACCACAUGGUCAAUAGCACGGAUGCCAUUUGCGACCCAUCGGUUCACGCCUCUCCUAUUGACGACUUUCGUAUAUUCAUCAUUCGGGUGGGGUUCUACUCACGAGAGAGGAGGCUGAAGGGAUCUCGGAGGCCAUAGUGUCGGCUCUGUCGCUGCCCAAGAGGUGGGUAUGCCCCUACCUCGCUGUCUUCAUACCUUUAUCCUAUUCCAUC